rnacentral:lncRNA from 1 species
UUUUCAAUCUGCCAUCUGCAGUGGAACCGCCACCAAAAUACAGAUUUUUUAAUAAAAAUCUUUACGGGGAAGACCGUCAUCCUCAAGGUCGAACCCUUGGAUAUGACAGAAAAUGUAAAGGCCAAGACCCAGAAUAAGAAAGGAAUUCCUCUUGAUCAGCAAAGGCGGAUCUUUGCUGGAAAGCAACUGGAAGAAAAAGAUGGAUGUACUUUGAUGACUACAACUUUCAAAAAAAGUCUACUCUUCAUCCUGUGGUAAGACUUCAUGGUGGUGCUAACAAAAUGAAGAAAUCUUACACCACUCCCAAGAAGAAAAGCAGGAGAGAAAGAAGGUUAACUGGCUGACUUGAAAUACUAGAAAAUGGAUGAGAAUGGCCAAAUUACUUGCCUUCUUUGGAAAUGCCCUUCAGAUGAUUGUGGCACUGGAGUGUUUAUGGCCAGCCACUUGGAGCGAAAUUACUGUGGCAAAUUGUUGUC